UACGUAGGGGGCGAGCGUUGUCCGGAGUUACUGGGCGUAAAGCGCACGCAGGCGGUCUGCUAAGUUUGGAGUGACAGUUGGUGGCUUAACUGCCAAAGUGCUUCGAAAACUGACAGACUUGAGGGCUUCAGAGGGACACGGAAUUCCGGGUGGAGUGGUGAAAUGCGUAGAGAUCGGGAGGAACACCCGUGGCGAAGGCGGCCAGCUGGGCCGGCCCUGACGCUGAGGCGCGAAGGCGUGGGGAGCGAACGGG
rnacentral:rRNA from 1 species